AUUGAACGCUGGCGGCAGGCCAAACACAUGCAAGUCGAACGGUAGCACAGAGAGCUUGCUCUCGGGUGACGAGUGGAGGACGGGUGAGUAAUGUCUGGGAAACUGCCCGAUGGAGGGGGAUAACUACUGGAAACGGUAGCUAAUACCGCAUAACGUCGCAAGACCAAAGUGGGGGACCUUCGGGCCUCACACCAUCGGAUGUGCCCAGAUGGGAUUAGCUAGUAGGUGGGGUAAUGGCUUACCUAGGCGACGAUCCCUAGCUGGUCUGAGAGGAUGACCAGCCAGACUGGGACGGAGACUCCGACCAGACUACUACGAGAGGCAGCAGUGGGGAAUAUUGCACAAUGGGCGCAAGCCUGUUGCAGCCAUGCCUGGUGUAUGAAGAGGGCCUUCGGGUUGUAAAGGACUUUCAGCGGGGAGGAAGGCGGUGAAGUUAAUAGCUUCACCGAUUGACGUUACCCGCAGAAGAAGCACCUGCUAACUCCGUGCCAGCAGCCGCAGUAACAC
rnacentral:rRNA from 1 species